rnacentral:rRNA from 1 species
GACAGAGGUCCCGAGCGUUAGGCGGAAUCACUGGGCUUAAAGCGUGUGUAGGCGGAUCCGUAAGUACCUUGUGAAAUCCCACGGCUUAACCGUGGAACUGCUUGGUAUACUGCGGGUCUUGAGCCACCUAGGGGCGAGCGGAACAAGUGGUGGAGCGGUGAAAUGCGUAGAUAUCACUUGGAACGCCAAUGGUGAAAACAGCUCGCUGGGGGUGUGCUGACGCUGAGACACGAAAGCCAGGGGAGCAAACGGG